GGCAGCGUAGCUCAGUGGUAGAGCAGAGGAAUCAUAAUCCUUUGGUCGGGGGUUCAAAUCUCUCCGCUGCUACCA
rnacentral:tRNA from 1 species